CGCAAAUUGCGCCCUUUGGUAUUCCGAAGGGCAUGCCUGUUUGAGUGUCGUAUAGACCUUCACCCGUCCAUUUGCUUGGUCGAGGUGCUUUGGACGUUCUGCCAUUAACCCUGGCUCGUCUUAAAUGUCUGAGUGGAUCCGUCUGGCGUGAUAAGUCUUCGCUUUGACACCUUUCACUAUAAAUCAUACUUCAUCUCUGACCUCAAAUCAGGUAGGACUACCCGCUGAACUUAA
rnacentral:misc_RNA from 1 species